rnacentral:rRNA from 1 species
GUGCCAGCCGCCGCGGUAAUACGAAGGGUGCUAGCGUUGUUCGGAAUUACUGGGCGUAAAGCGUACGUAGGCGGCUUAGUAAGUCGAUUGUGAAAGCCCCAGGCUCAACUUGGGAACUGCAAUCGAAACUGCUUCGCUCGAGUUUGGUGGGGGAUAGUGGAAUUCCUAGUGUAGGGGUGAAAUCCGUAGAUAUUAGGAGGAACACCGGUGGCGAAAGCGACUAUCUACGCCAAUACUGACGCUAAGGUACGAAAGCGUGGGGAGCAAACAGGAUUAGAAACCCCUGUAGUCC